UUUGAUCAAGACAAAGGAAAACAUAAUUAGGAGCUCAGGGAGGCAGCUGUAUGGAGGCCAAUAUGCAGACAAGGGAAGUAACUCAGGCAUUUUGGGGGAGAGGUACAGAAAGAAGAGAAAAGACUGAACUGACUGCUGUUCUGAACAAGAACUGUGACUAUAUGUGGUACUCCCAGAAUGCUGGUUUCCUUUCAGACCCAUCAAGUGGCCAUCCUAUUGGCUUGGACUGAAGACCCCCACUGGAGAACUGUCUCUGCAGCCUAUACUGAUGACACUGGCCACUGUCCAGGGCUCCACCCCAAGGAGUCCAAGCCCCAGACAUUUAGCCUUAGAGAGAAUCCAGAUUUUGCAUUUCCAGUGCAGGGAUUGAUGGAGCCUUGUGUAUCAAAGUGCCAAUUUCUUUCUAACAAGCUAGGGAGGAUACCGUUGACAGCAGCAGAAAGGGGUAGCAGUGGUUUGCUUUCCAAAUGGUAAUAAGAAGGGCCUGGCAGUGGCAACCUGUCCACGUAUCAUUAAAAAUGGACUCUCCUGCUUCGUUUGGAAUUCAACCCAAUGAACUUGAAUAAACUCUGGACAAUGACCAGCACAGAGCCCUAAGCAGGAUACAGCAAGAUUAUUUGCUUUACUCAUCCACUGAGUACCUACCAUGUGCCAAAUACUAUGCUAUAUGCCGAGUAUACACUGGCAAAUAAAACAGAUAUGGUCCCUGGAGCCUAUGAAUCUUACCCCAUCUAGCCACAAAUAAUAAAAAUAAGAAGAAUCUGAAGGACAAGUGGGACAGAAAUACUCAAGCAGAAUGAGGGUGAGAUUGAAGUCCCUGAACAUACAGUGCCCUUUACACUUGAUCUUAGCCAAAAGGCCGAGAAGAGAUUACAGUGCUUUUUAAAGGUAGCAUUUCACCCAGCCAAUAAUCAAUCCCUUUGGCCUUCUUGAGGUGCAAGGCCACACACUCAAAUUCUUUAAUCAAACAAUAGGCUAGUGCAAAUGGAGCUAUUUCUUAAACCCAGCUGUUUACACAGCAGCUACAAAUCUGUUCAGAAGGAAUCCCCCACCAUCCACAACUGUCUAUCGAGCAGAUGUGCAAGAGUAUUUGUCUCUCACCACCAGGGUUGCAGUCAGGACAAGAGAGCAGGUUUGAACGUCUUCGGCUCCUAGAACUGCACAAGCUGUGUCUUCAGUGCCCAGAGGCGGCUGCAACGUCUCCCCAGUUCUCCUCUCAGAACAAUGGAAAUUUUUUUUAGAGGCGUAAUAGGAAGGUUUGCAUUGAAUUAUUAAACAAUGGGUAUUGAAAAAUAUGUUUUCUUUGACCUCUGUACUUCUAGCUUUUACCAGUCAGUGUUUUCUUGUACCAAGGCUAAGAUAUGUAUAACACUGAAAUGGAUGUCUUCUUAUAUAAUAUUUUACAAGCUUUUGAAAACCUGUGCCCUUUAAUAAAUUUUAAAACGUUUCAUGCCCUUCUUUCAUUUUCUGAAAUUCAAAAUAAAUUAAAUAUCAGGGGACACAAAAGCACAAGAAGAAAGCACUGCUUUGUUUUCAAAUCAGGCCCCAAGCCACUGCCCUUGAGAUUCUUGUGGGUCAGCACAAGCACCCCUCCCAUCUCCAGUUCCUGAGACUCAUUGUUCCAAAUGGUAAUAUUAACAUUUGCCAUGUUCACUCAUGGAUAACUUUCCAUUAUUUCAGUUGUAAACAUUUUCUAUGUGAAAUAUGAGAUGAGACCAAUGAAACAAUAGAUUUUAAACAAAUUAAAUAAGAAUUUUUGCAAGCAAAGGAGCAUCAUGACUUUGAAAUGGCCACUUUUGGGGGCCAUGCUUCUAGGGCUAAAAUACGCAUGCUUCUGGGGCUAAUACCUUGGCUCCAAAAAUUGGGAGGUACUCAUUCAGUGCAGCGGAAAGGAGUAUAAGCUUUGGAAGCAGGUGAUCUGGAUGCAAAUCACAUUCUGCCACAUUUUAGCUGUUGCCGCUUUGACCUAAUUGUUUAACAUCUUUCUAAGCCUCAGUUUCCUCAAUGGUAAAAGGAGAAAAAAGAUAAGAAAAAAUGAAUGCAAAAUGUCUGCACAUCUCAAGAAGCUAGUAGUUACCAAGAUUGGAACUAUCACUAAUGAUAUGUCUUUUCCUUAGAGAUCUUUUAGGAUGAUUUUUUUUUUUUUUUUAGAAUCUCUUGUCUUUUAAAGUCAAAUUAAGAGAAUAGAAGUGGAUAAUAAAUGGCUGGCCGUUCUAGUUUUAGAGGGAAAAAAAACUGUUGCUAUAGUCACUAUCCUACAAUUUUGUGUGGUUCGUUAAAUGACUCUGAAGUUCACUCCAAAAGAUGUUUCCAAAAUGUUCUGAGCGACCACAUUCUCCUUAGAAUUGUGCACAGACUGGCUGGGUAGCCACUUUGAAGGGAUUCAAUUCCUUUGAAUGUUUAAGUAAGUUGUUUGGUGUUAAAGAAAUUCUCUUUGUUUUAUGGCCACACCACAAAUAUGGACAUUGUAAAAAAGGCUUAAUGAUUGCAAAUCCGCCUUGCCAUUUCCUCUAUGUCCAGAUAUAUGUCUUUUUAGAACACUGAUGUGUAGUAAGCAGAGAUUUUUAUUCCUUUUUAAUUUUUUUCCCCUUUGAUUCCUGAACCUUUGUCAUCGACACAGGAAAAUUAGACCCAGUCCCUGCUACCAAAAGCUACCGCGAUCAUUCCACAGUUUCACACGCUUUCAGGUUUCCAUUUUCCUUCUCUCACCCCAGAUGCCUGGCAUACGCGAUAGCAGCAAAAACAAAAUCUGUUGCAUUUUUGGAAUGUUAUUAACACUGAAGCAGCCCAGGGAUUGCAACAGCUAAGAUAGGGAUCCCCACCCCCAACUUUUUUCUCACUAGAGAGCAAAGAGCAACUCUUAAAUCCAGAAAGCGAGGAGAACCUUGUCCGGAAGAGGCACUCAAAUGCAUUGAAUCCACUGAUUUCCCUCUGCUUGCCACCCCAGCCUUCACCACCCCAUCUCGACUUUCCCACAGGAAAACCAUGUUAGGUGUUAGACAAUGAUGCCACACAAUAGAAAUAUAAAUCCAGUGUUUGUCUAGCAUAAUAUAAAUGGCACUGCUGAACUCCAUCCUUCCUCCCAUUGACAACAUCAGAGAGAUAGUUAGUGAGGGGCAAAAUCAUCUGUGAUUGUCUCUGCAUGGAUGUUGAAAUUGCUCCCCCCAGGGUCUUCUAGGGUUUUUAAGCAUAAAGGUGUUCAUCCAACUGAAAAAAUUGUAUAUCUAUAAGCAAUUUGAGAUUCAGCAUGUCUGGCAAUGCACAUUUUUUUAAGGAUGAGAAAAUGCAGCAUGAAAUGUGUUUAUGUAUGCUGUGCUGGGGAAUUUCUGAACCUUUCACUGUCAUCUUGAAGCCUUUAAGAGGGAAGCUCUUGAGGAUGUUGGAUUAUAAAAGUCAUUCUCUCAUUUCUGGGACUUAAGGACACGUCUCUGAGCAUAACAAAUGUGCGAUCACAAAUGAAGGUGCCUUGAGCUUAAUGGAAGAAAGGUUUAUCUUCAACACUGACAUUUCUACUUCUCUAAUAAAAUCAUAUUGUGCCUCUUUUUUUAUUAAAAGGUUUCUUCGCCCUUCCCCUUUCCUAGGGCUGAUGGGAUUCAUCCCCUAAAGCUGGUGUGGUUGGCAGUAACAGGGCUGAGUAGAUUUAGCUGGUAUGAUCAGGAGAUUGGUUACAGGGGAAUUGAGCAAAUAAGUAAACAUAUUGAAAAUGAUGGGAGCCAGGCCGCUCACUGUUGGAGAGAUCUAUAUUUGAGUUACAAAUAUAGAAUGAAAGAAGGCUAGAAUAAAUGCUGUGGUGUUGGAAUAGAACUGAAAGUAUUGGUGUGAACUCCUGGUUUUUAAUGUAAAUAUAUAACAAAGAUUUAUGUGUAUUAUGUGUGUAUAUAUAAAUAUAUACAUAUAUAGAGAUACACAUAUACAUGCAUAGACAUAUCUAUCUAUCUAUAUACCUAAUUUCCUAGCUCUAUCUGCACCGAGUGCCUGAAAGUAAAGGCACCCAAGUAGCAAUAAGCAUACCUAGCAUCCACAUCAUGGCUUCUAGAUAUUAUUUUUUAUUAAAAGGAAAUAGGACUCCAUCAGGAAAUAGCUGAUUCCAGGAUGUGGUAGUUUUAAAACUGGUCCACUCGAAGAUAUCUACAUCUUAACCCCUGGAACCUGUAAAUGUUACCUUAUUUGGAAAAAGGAUUUUUGCAGAUGUGAUUAAGUUAAAGAUUUUUAAAUGAGGAGAUUAUCCUGGAUUAGCCAGGUGGAUCCUAAAUGCCAUCACAAGUGUCUUUAUAAGAGAGAGACGGGGGAGAUUACAGACAGAAGAGGAGACAGCGUGACUAUGGAGGCAGUGAUUCAGUCACAAGUCAAGGAGUGCCAGCAGUUACCCCAAGCUGGAAGGGGCAAUAGACAGAUUCUCCCCUAGAGCCUCUGGAGGGAGUGUGGUUCUGCCAAUAGCUAAUUUCAUCCCAUUAAUAUUGGUUUCAGACUCCUGGCCUCCAAAUUUGUAAGGGAAUAGUUUCUGUUGUUUCCAAAUCUGUGGUAAUUUGAGAUGGCAGUCAAAGGAAGCUAAUAUACAGGCCUGGGGCAGGGAAUGUCCAAGAUGAGCCUGGAGCAUCUUCUUGAGCCAGAAAGUGAGGUGAUGCUCAGGAUGAGAAAGGACACAGGGACCAGCCUGAAGGGACUUCCAUGGGCCAAAGUGAGGGCAAUAAAGAAUCAAAGGGAAUAUCAAGAAUAAAAGUUGGGCACGGUGGCUCAUCCCUAUAAUCCCAGCACUUUGGGAGGCCAAGGCUGGUGGAUCACCUAAGGUCAGGAGUUCGAAACCAACCUGACCAACAUGGUGAAACCCCAUCUCUACCAAAAAUUACAAAAAUUAGCCGGGCAUGGUAGUAUGUGCCUGUAGUCCUAGCUAUUCAGGAGGCUGAGGCGGGAGGAUUGCUUGAGCCCAGGAUGUUCAGGUUGCAGUGAGCGGUGAUUGUGCCACUGCACUCCAGCCUGAGCAACAGACCGAGAUCCUGUCUCAAAAAAAGAAAGGAGAGAGAGAGAAAAGAAAGAAAGAGAAAUGGAAUUAGAAUAUCACCAUUUGGCAACCAACAGAAUGGAAAUUAAUUUGGACAAGAAUCAUCAAUGGAUGCAAAAACUAGUGGAUGACAGUUUGAUGAGAAACAGCAUCUUUACAUUAUCUCACAGUGUCUUCCAACAAAAUACUUGUUAACUCUUAUUACCCAUUUUUAAUUUAACAUCACCAGUAAUGGGACAAAUUGACAUCAUGUACCCUUGAUAUGAUAGACUGAGAACAAAGCAUUACUCUGUGGUGUUCCUGCCAAAAAUGCAUGACAUAAAGCUAAUCACGAGGCAGUAUCAGACAAACCUGAACUGAGGAGUAUUCUACAGAUAACUGGCUGUACCCUUUGAAAAUGUCAGAGGCAUGCAGGACAGGGAAAGGCUGAGAAACUGUUCCAAAUUAAUUACUUCCAACAACCAAUCCUCAACUGCAUUCUGGACCCAUAAAGGAUAUUAUCAGGGCAGAUGGUAAAAUUGGAAGUUUGUGAAUAAAUGGUGACAUUGUAUUGAUGUUUCUACUUAGUUAUGUAGGAGAAUGUCCUGCUUUUAGGAAAUGCACACUAAAGUAUUAAGAGAUAAUGAGACAUUAUGUCUGCACCUGCCUCCCAAAUUGUUCAGCACAAUAAUUUAUAAAAAUACGCAGAAAGAUUGAAAGACAAAUGUGGUAAAAUGUUAACAAUUAAGGACUCUAGGUAAAGGGCAUAUGGGAGUUUGUUGUAGCAUUCUUGCAACAUUUUUGUAAGUUUGAAAUUAUUUCUAAAUGAAAAGUUAAAAAGAAAAAAAGAUAAUUAUUCUACCAUGGUACCCUGUAACUUUCAUUCAAAAAGUACUUAUGGAAUUCCCAUUCAGAAAGUGAAAGGGCAUUGGAGGGAAAGCCAGGGUACCUGGUUCUGCCACUAUCUGGGUCCCCUUGGGCAGGUAACUUAACCUCUCUGAACCUCAGUCUCCUCAGCUUUAUCAUUCUCUGCUUUUCUACACCUAAGGCAAUUGAUUUCACUAGUUGGUUUAGUUCUGAUUUAGAAGGAACCAACAAUGGCAUAGUUAAAAAUCAUUACUGUGGAAUGGGGAGUGGCUGCUAGUGAAUAAUUGAAUGUCAUUUCUUUUUGCAGGCAAAAAUGUUCUAAAAUUAGAUUGUGGUGAUGACUGAAUAACUCCAUGAAAAUAGUCAAAAAUAUUGAAUCAUGCACUUGAAUGGGUGAAUUAUUUGGUAUGUAAAUGAUAUCUCAAGGAAGCCAUAGAACUCAUUGCUGUUGAUUUUCUCACCCCACAGCCAACCGUGAUUCUAUAAGGUUAGACUGAAGAAGCCUGUGAUGUAAUGGUGAUGGUUUAACAGCUGG
rnacentral:lncRNA from 10 species